AGGACGAACGCUGGCGGCGUGCUUAACGACAUGCAAGUCGAGCGGUAAGGCCCUUUCGGGGGUACACGAGCGGCGAACGGGUGAGUAACACGUGGGUGACCUGCCCUUAGCUCUGGGAUAAGCCUGGGAAACUGGGUCUAAUACCGGAUAUGACCUCGCGAUGCAUGUCGUGGGGUGGAAAGCCUUGUGCGGCUAGGGAUGGGCCCGCGGCCUAUCAGCUUGUUGGUGGGGUGAUGGCCUACCAAGGCGACGACGGGUAGCCGGCCUGAGAGGGCGACCGGCCACACUGGGACUGAGACACGGCCCAGACUCCUACGGGAGGCAGCAGUGGGGAAUCUUGCGCAAUGGGCGAAAGCCUGACGCAGCGACGCCGCGUGAGGGAUGACGGCCUUCGGGUUGGUAAACCUCUUUCAGCCCUGACGAAGCGAAGUGACGGUAGGGCAGAAGAGCACGGCCAACUACGUGCCAGCAGCCGC
rnacentral:rRNA from 1 species